CAGGCAUUAACCUCAAAUGCAGAGCCUUGUCAAAAGCACUUUCCAAAGUGGAAACAACUUUGUCAUUUCAUUAGAAAAUGUGGAAUUAUAUUCUGAAGCAUUUCUUCAUUUAAUCUUCGACAUUAUCAUCACCUUUCAUCCCCAGUGAAGAUUAGAGGAUCAGGGAUGCUCAGAGAUGCUGAGUGAGUCCCAGUCAUCCUCUGCAGCUUUUUCCACAUCAAAAACAGGUACUCAGGAUGCCCCCUGUUGCAUGGUGGAUGGUUGCUCUUCAAACUGUUGUGUCAUUAGGAAUGUCAAUGCAGAGGGCAGAUAUGCUGAAAUCAGGAAAGAUAUCUAAGAAGGCAUUUGAGAGAUCCUUUGUUUAUGAUAAGGAGAAGUUGUACAGUAUCUGCUUCAGCAAAUGGUACUAA
rnacentral:lncRNA from 1 species